AUAACGUGAAACAAACUCCCAUCGUCUUCCUCUUGCAGCCGCAAAUUUCACCGCCGCCCUCCACCUUGGGUUCCGGCGAGUGGUGGUCAGAAUUAAAAAACGAACAUACCACCAUAACCGAUUCUGUCUCCCCAACACAAAUCCACUUCCCAAAUUCCCAAACUCAAAACCAAUACAAUUUAAUUUACAGUUUUAAGCGAGAGCCCUAAACCUUCAAAGUUAAAUUAAAUGCCCAUGGAGCAUCACUUCACUCAAUUGAUAAGGGAUUAUUGAUCAGCAUGGCACAAGGAUCAUACUGGUAAUAAAAAAAUGCAAAAAAGAAAGAUUGAACCAAUCUCACCGGAGCUAGUUCGGCGCCUCCACCUCCGGCGAUGCACCAGAACAAUUUCUCAAGGUUCAUCAAAAAAUGAAUUUAGCAUAUCUCCUCAAGAAUCAGAAUAGGUGUGUAUCCUGUUGUAACUGCUCACAACUGCCAGUCUCAAUAUGUUUCUCAGAGUGGGGAAAAUGAUUUCCAGUUGAUCAAGAUGGGUGAGACCUUGAACUAGUGCAACUGGGAUAGAAUCUUCUCUGGACCAGGUUUCACAUAGCUUUGACAAAGAAUCUUCUCUGGGACAUCCACUUAAAGGAAGAAAAUGGUGUGCUAAAGCAUCUGUAUUCAACACUCUUCUCCAAGUCUUGGAUGAUGGAAGGCUAACUGAUGGACAAGGCCGAACUGUGGAUUUUAGAAACAAGGUCAUUUUCAUGACUUUAAACCUUGGUGCUGAGUAUCUCCUAAGCGGACUUUCAGGAAAGUGUACCAUGCAAGCUGCUUAUGACCGAGUAAUGCAGGAAGUAAGGUUUUUUCAUGUUUGAUGUUGUGAUAUUACCUUUACAAACAUCAAUUGAUUCAAAGGUUCUGUCAAGCUACCGAUGUGAGCAUGAGAUCUCUGAUGAAUCAAUCGAAUCUGCUGCUCAAUUACAUUUCUUAAAAACUCUAUUGCAGGGAGAUUGAUCGCCAAGUCGUGAUCAAAAUUUUGGUCAAUCUGCAAAUAGAAUUGGGGAACUGUUUGCACUAUAGGAGUUAAAUCUAAUAUGUAAUAAGUACAGACUUUUUUUGCCUUCAGUAGUAUCAUCAUAUACAUGCCAAAAAAUGAGAUUUGUACAAAUGGUCCUAGAAACAGCAUCAUUUGCCCAUGUAUCCUGAUUAAGCAUAUGUGAGCUGAAUUCCUUGGUAGAUUGAAACCAUUUGUCCUUGCUCUGGCUCCCAAAUUUUGAUUGCAGCAUAACUAAUUCGUUCUCUCUUUUGUUAUUUUACAUGGAUUGGUGGCUUGAGCUUGACUAUGGCUUGGCUUGGCUUGGAUUACAUGGGGAAAGAGGUAAUGGCGAUGGCUGGCUCAAUCCAUUGAACAACUUGGAGCUGAUGUGAAACUUGGAUAAUGCUCCUUCUAUUUUGCAAAUUUUGCCUUUUCUAAUUUGUAUUGUGUAGUAUGUGUAAGGUGUAUGAUCAAAAAACGUGUAUUGAAUUUUUUUUUGGAGAAAUGUGAUAUAAUGCAUGAAUAUAUUUUAAUAAGAAGCUUCUUUUUUUUA